UACGGGGGGAGCAAGCGUUGUUCGGAUUUACUGGGCGUAAAGGGCGCGUAGGCGGCCACCGCAAGUCGACUGUGAAAUCUCCGGGCUUACCCCGGAAAGGUCAGCCGAUACUGCGGGGCUAGAGUGCAGAAGGGGCAACUGGAAUUCUCGGUGUAGCGGUGAAAUGCGUAGAUAUCGAGAGGAACACCUGCGGCGAAGGCGGGUUGCUGGGCUGACACUGACGCUGAGGCGCGAAAGCGUGGGGAGCGAUCCGG
rnacentral:rRNA from 1 species